GCCGGAUGCGGUGGCUUGUGCCUGUAGUCCCAGCACUCAGGAGGCUGAGGUGGGAGGAUCGCUUGAUCCCAGGAGUUCUGGGCUGUAGUGCGCUAUGCCGAUCGGGUGUCCGCACUAAGUUCAGCAUGAGUAUGGUGACCUCCCGGGAGCGGGGGACCAGCAGGUUGCCUAAGGAGGGGUGAACUGGCCCAGGUCGGAAACGGAGCAGGUCAAAACUCCCGUGCUGAUUAGUAGUGGGAUCGCGCCUGUGAAUAGCCACUGCACUCCAGCCUGGGCAACAAGCGAGACCCUGUCUCU
rnacentral:SRP_RNA from 1 species